GAUGAACGCUGGCGGCGUGCCUAAUACAUGCAAGUCGAGCGAACGGACGAGAAGCUUGCUUUUCUGAUGUUAGCGGCGGACGGGUGAGUAACACGUGGAUAACCUCCCUAUAAGACUGGGAUAACUUCGGGAAACCGGCGCUAAUACCGGAUAAUAUUUUGAACCGCAUGGUUCAAAAGUGAAAGACGGUCUUGCUGUCACUUAUCGAUGGAUCCGCGCUGCAUUAGCUAGUUGGUAAGGUAACGGCUUACCAAGGCAACGAUGCAUAGCCGACCUGAGAGGGUGAUCGGCCACACUGGAACUGAGACACGGUCCAGACUCCUACGGGAGGCAGCAGUAGGGAAUCUUCCGCAAUGGGCGAAAGCCUGACGGAGCAACGCCGCGUGAGUGAUGAAGGUCUUCGGAUCGUAAAACUCUGUUAUUAGGGAAGAACAUAUGUGUAAGUAACUGUGCACAUCUUGACGGUAACUAAUCAGAAAGCCACGGCUAACUACGUG
rnacentral:rRNA from 1 species